GGCUGAGUGGCAGAGAGGUUAUGCAGCGGCCUGCAAAGCCGUGUAGCCCGGUUCGAUUCCGGGCUCAGCCUCCA
rnacentral:tRNA from 1 species